GGCUCCCUAGCUCAGUUGGUAGAGCAGAGGACUGAAAAUCCUUGUGUCGGUGGUUCGAUUCCGCCGGGAGCCACCA
rnacentral:tRNA from 3 species